UACAGAGGUCCCAAGCGUUGUUCGGAUUCACUGGGCGUAAAGGGUGCGUAGGUGGCUUGGUAAGUUUGAUGUGAAAUCUCUGGGCUUAACCCGGAAAUGGCAUUGAAUACUACUUUAGCUGGAGGUUUGGAGGGGGGACUGGAAUUCUCGGUGUAGCAGUGAAAUGCGUAGAUAUCGAGAGGAACACCAGUGGCGAAGGCGAGUCCCUGGACAACACCUGACACUGAGGCACGAAAGCUAGGGGAGCAAACAGG
rnacentral:rRNA from 1 species